rnacentral:rRNA from 1 species
AACGCUGGCGGCAUGCCUAACACAUGCAAGUCGAACGGGAUCCUAGCUUGCUAGGUGAGAGUGGCGGACGGGUGAGUAACACGUGGGAAUCUGCCUUUUGGUUCGGGAUAACCGCGGGAAACUGCGGCUAAUACCGAAUGCCCUCGAGAGAGGAAAGAUUUAUCGCCAGAAGAGGAGCCCGCGUCCGAUUAGGUAGUUGGUGGGGUAAAGGCCUACCAAGCCGACGAUCGGUAGCUGGUCUGAGAGGAUGAUCAGCCACACUGGGACUGAGAUACGGCCCAGACUCCUACGGGAGGCAGCAGUGGGGAAUAUUGGACAAUGGGGGCAACCCUGAUCCAGCAAUGCCGCGUGAGUGAUGAAGGCCUUAGGGUUGUAAAGCUCUUUUGUCCAGGGAAGAUGAUGACUGUACCUGGAGAAUAAGCCCCGGCUAACUUCGUG